AUGUGAAUACCCUAAUAUUCAAAAAAUUUCGCGCAUUGGCCUUGAAAGCCUUAUCAUUUUCGUUGACACGCCCUUAAGCGGGGUGAUAUAGUCAAGAAAGUAGGUAGGGCUACAUUUAUUUGAUAACGAAGGGAAUGUGUUACAUGCAAGGUAAAGUGAAAUGGUUCAACGCUGAGAAAGGCUACGGAUUCAUUGAGCGCGAAGACGGUGGCGACGUAUUCGUACACUUCUCCGCAAUCCAAGCAGACGGCUUCAAAACUUUAGAAGAAGGCCAAGCGGUCGAGUUCGACAUCGUCGAAGGUGCUCGCGGCCCACAAGCUGCCAACGUGAUCAAGUUAUAAUCAUCCGGCCGCACGCGGCCCUUUAUAGAUGAUUUACCUUACAUCUGGCUUUCGAAGCAUCCCGAUGCUGUUUCGGGGUGCUUUUU
rnacentral:other from 1 species